AGAAAUCAAGGGGCAAUAAAGAAAGUAAGAAAAGGAGCCCAGUAGCUGGUGUCAGAAAGAAUAAGAACUAAAGAAAACUAAACUGGCACUAGGGAGAGAAGGGAUGAAUUGUGCAGGUGCAGGAGGAGG